UAUAGAAGGAGGGAGUCCGGUUAGAUGAAGGCUAAAGCUUCAUCUGUCUCAAAACCAGAGUGGAAGUUGAACAGCGCCUUGCUCUAGGAAGCUCCGGGCAUUCCUAGAUGAUGGCUGCAUCUUGCAUGCUGCUAAAGUCUGACCUAAAGGAGACUGAAAGAUAAGAUGAGAAUGAAUGAAAGAAGCCCAACUGUAUUAGUCAUUUAUUGCUGCCUAUCAAAUUUGCCCAAAACUUAGCAGCUUAAAACAAACAAGAUUUAUUUCCUCACACUGUCUGAGGGUCAGGAAUCCAAGAGCAUUGUGGCUCGGUGGUCCUGGCUCCAUGUUUCUCACAAAGUUGCAGUCAGACGUCAGCUGAGGCUACAGUCAUCUCGAGGCUCUACUGGGGCUGAUGGAUUCACUGCCAAGUUUACUCGCAUGGCUGUUGGCUGGAGGCCUCAGUUCUUUGCCAUGUGGCUCUCUUUACAGGGCUACCUGGUUUCUGCCUGAGCAGCAAGUGAUGAAGGAGAGUGAGCGUAUGAGAGAGCAAGAGAGUGAGCCCAAUCGUGGACUGACCACACAGUUGACCCUGGUUGACUGUGAGAAAGGACACAGGCUAUGAACACCAGGAGGUGGGGAUCAUUGGACGCCAUCUUGGAGGCUGGCUACCUCAACAAUCUUCUUAGAUUCCAUGAUUUCUCGACAAUGGAAGGAUGACAGGAUGUACUUCCCAGAUUUCAGGAAUUCAGGCUUCUGAUGGUCCCCAAGAAAUCAGAGGACAUGAGACUCCAAAAGAAGAGAGAUGGCUCAAGAAGAAAAUCAAGAAAGGAACUUCUCUAUGGCUUCUGUGGAGUCAACUCUUCCUGACUGCCUGACUGCCACGAGGUACCAGGGAUCUUGGAAGCCCCAUGUUGAAGGUGGCAGAGCAACAAAAAUUGAGGAAGCCCUGAAUCCCUGAACUAUUAUUUGGAGAUGACCACCCACUGAUCCAGAACACUCAUUAUUGGGCUUUAGGAGAAUGAGAAAUUCUGUCAUGCUUGAGACUCCGUACAUCUUUGGAUUUGUUUUAACUGCUAGUUUUACCCUGACUAACAUGGCAAUUGACAGCCUCUGAGAGGAGAUUUGGAGAAUCUGCUUUUUUAACAAGUACCCCAGGGGAGUUUGAGAAUCACUGCUGAAAGCCAAGGGGAGCCAGUCACCCAAGGAUUUAACGCUGACCAAGGAACACCACGCUAUUUACAUUUUAGAAUGAC